rnacentral:rRNA from 1 species
CACGUAGGGCGCAAGCGUUGUCCGGAAUUAUUGGGCGUAAAGAGCUCGUAGGCGGUCUGUUGCGUCCGCUGUGAAAACUCGGGGCUUAACCCCGAGCCUGCAGUGGAUACGGGCAGACUAGAGGUAGGUAGGGGAGAAUGGAAUUCCCGGUGUAACGGUGAAAUGCGCAGAUAUCGGGAGGAACACCGGUGGCGAAGGCGGUUCUCUGGGCCUUACCUGACGCUGAGGAGCGAAAGCGUGGGGAGCGAACAGG